GACGAACGCUGGCGGCGUGCUUAACACAUGCAAGUCGAACGAUGACGACCGAGCUUGCUCGGUCUGAUUAGUGGCGAACGGGUGAGUAACACGUGAGCAACCUGCCCUUCACUCUGGGAUAACCUCGGGAAAUCGGGGCUAAUACCGGAUAUGAGCUCCUGUCGCAUGGCGGGUGUUGGAAAGUUUUUCGGUGAAGGAUGGGCUCGCGGCCUAUCAGUUUGUUGGUGAGGUAGUGGCUCACCAAGGCGAUGACGGGUAGCCGGCCUGAGAGGGCGACCGGCCACACUGGGACUGAGACACGGCCCAGACUCCUACGGGAGGCAGCAGUGGGGAAUAUUGCACAAUGGGCGAAAGCCUGAUGCAGCGACGCCGCGUGAGGGAUGACGGCCUUCGGGUUGUAAACCUCUUUCAGCAGGGAAGAAGCGUAAGUGACGGUACCUGCAGAAGAAGCGCCGGCUAACUACGUG
rnacentral:rRNA from 1 species